rnacentral:rRNA from 1 species
CAGACAACCAGGAUGUUGGCUUAGAAGCAGCCAUCAUUGAAAGAGUGCGUAAUAGCUCACUGGUCGAGUGACUCUGCGCCGAAAAUGUACCGGGGCUAAACGGAUCACCGAAGCCGUGGAUUCCGGAGGUCAGAUAUCAGAGGCCGGAAAUCAGAGAAAAGGAAGAAGAAUAAAUGGCGAGCAGUUAUCAUGAACUCAGAGUGUAUGAAAUCUCUUAUGACUUAGCACUUCAAGUUCACCGAUUAACGCAGACAUUUCCAGACUUUGAAAAAUAUGAACUUGGUAGUCAACUUAGAAGAGCAGCGAUAUCCAUUCCUGUAAAUAUUGCGGAAGGAUAUGGCAAGAAAAGCUCAUUAGCUGACUUUAAACGGUUUUUAUAUAUCGCCCAAGGUUCAAAAGAUGAAGUCAAGGUUCUUCUUGAAAUGGUAAAGGAUCUUGGUUACAUUCCUAAUGAUACGUUUGAACGAAUGUAUCGGCAUUAUGAUGAAUUAGGAAAACAAUUGUACCGUAUGAUUCAAACCUGGGGAUAAUCUCGAUUUCUGACAUCUGGUUUCUGACAUCUGACUUCUGGAAUGGUAGGGGAGCGUUCUAAGUGCGGCGAAGCGAGACCGGAAGGACUCGUGGAGCGCUUAGAAGUGAGAAUGCCGGUAUAAGUAGCGAAAAGAGGGGUGAGAAUCCCCUCCGUCGAAAGCCUAAGGUUUCCUGAGGAAGGCUCGUCCGCUCAGGGUAAGUCGGGACCUAAGCCGAGGCCGAAAGGCGUAGGCGAUGGGCAACAGGUUGAAAUUCCUGUACCACCUCCUCUCCGUUUGAGCAACGGGGGGACGCAGGAAGGUAGGGCAAGCGUGCUGAUGGAGUGCACGUCCAAGCAGUAAGGCUGUCAGCGAGGCAAAUCCCGCUGGCGGAAGGCUGAGCUGUGAUGGCGAGGGAAACAGAAGUACUGAAGUUCCCGAUCCUACACUGCCAAGAAAAGCCUCUAGCGAGGAGAGAGGUGCCCGUACCGCAAACCGACACAGGUAGGCGAGGAGAGAAUCCUAAGACGCUCGGGAGAACUCUCGUUAAGGAACUCGGCAAAAUGACCCCGUAACUUCGGGAGAAGGGGUGCUUUCAGGGGUGAGAGCCCAGGAGAGCCGCAGUGACUAGAUCCAAGCGACUGUUUAGCAAAAACACAGGUCUCUGCCAAGCCGCAAGGCGAAGUAUAGGGGCUGACACCUGCCCGGUGCUGGAAGGUUAAGAGGAGGGGUUAGCUUAGGCGAAGCUCUGAAUUGAAGCCCCAGUAAACGGCGGCCGUAACUAUAACGGUCCUAAGGUAGCGAAAUUCCUUGUCGGGUAAGUUCCGACCCGCACGAAAGGUGCAACGACUUGGAUACUGUCUCAACGAGAGACCCGGUGAAAUUAUAGUAUGCGUGAAGAUGCGCAUUCCCCGCGACAGGACGGAAAGACCCCAUGGAGCUUUACUGUAGCUUGAUAUUGGAUUUUGGUAUCGCUUGUACAGGAUAGGUAGGAGCCAUGGAAGCCGGGCCGCCAGGUUCGGUGGAGGCAACGGUGGGAUACUACCCCUGCGGUACUGAAGUUCUAACCCGCAGCCGUCAUCCGGCUGGGAGACAGUGUCAGGUGGGCAGUUUGACUGGGGCGGUCGCCUCCUAAAAGGUAACGGAGGCGCCCAAAGGUUCCCUCAGAAUGGUUGGAAAUCAUUCG